rnacentral:lncRNA from 1 species
GGAGUUGGAGGGUGAUACAUGAUAGGGAAGUUGGAGAGUUGUUAAUAAUGCAUGAAGGAAUAAGUGUAUAUCCAUGAGAUGAUGGGUUGGAAUAUUUGUAAAGUAUAAUUAGGAGUUUAAAUUGACAGUAUAUACUUAAAUAGCACUACUAAUGAUAACGAUUAGAAAUGAUAUGUUGGCAUAAUUAGUUUGCAAGACAUUAGAUUUUGACUCACAUGAGCAUCCUAUCAUGGCGGCCACCUUUACACCUCUGAUCAUGCAUGGACCCUGAUGAAGGGAAGAGAGAGAGAGGUGUAAAAUGAAAGCAAAGGCAUGCACACAAUUCCAGAGAGAGAGAGAGAGAGAAGGUGGUGGGUGCAUGUGGGGUAUUGUGAGUGAGUCCAUGACACUCUUUUGGUGCAUGUAAGGAAAAAGGUUGAUGAGCUCAAAACCAAGGAUUAAAAAACAAAGGGUUUUGGGUCCCCGCAUGGGACUGGAAGGAAUUGAAAGGGACCUCCACCUUUGUUUGUUUUUUCAUCAGCAAAAUCACGCAAUGGCCCUGUCCCAAUGGCGGGGUCUCACUGUCCCAAAUCUCUUCCUCUUCCAGAAGCAAAAGCUAUAGCCAUAGGGGGGGAC